rnacentral:lncRNA from 10 species
CGUGAGCGCGCCGGCGAGGCCGUGCGCGUGCGUGAGCGCGCACCGCGCGGUGCUCCUACUGAAAAAGCCGAGCAGGGCCGGGCAGUGACUGCGCAUGCGGGAAACACCGCCCGCGUCCGCAAUACCGCGCAGGCUCAGACCCCCAGCGGAGGAGAGAGACGAGGCCAGGCGAGGGGAGACGGGGCGCGGCAGGACAGCGGGGAGGGAAUGGGAGAAUUUAGAGGCCGGGUCAGAGGUCACGGGAACCUCUCCCAGUCCGCCCUGGCAUUUAGAUUUCUGCUUUGUACACAGUUGGACGUUACAUUUGCAGGGAUGCCUGCACCUGGCUAUGGGAAGUUUAUGGGUGCCCCCCUGCCCAUCAGUCACGUUUCUGCAUUUUGACACCCGCCAGGGCCUUCUCACAUGGAAGUGGCCCAGUAGUCAUGUCCUUGGCAACCAGCAGGCCUUGUCUGUGCCAGGAACAGACUGUGACAGGUGGCCGGAGAUACAGCUGGAGGGAUGGACAGGAACCCAGGAGCUCAGACAGACCCCAAAUCCUCGCCACCACAGGGAGCUUUGGGAAGAAAACACAUUUCAUAAAUCCCCAUGGCUACAGAGAUUGCUGCAAUAG